GGGGAAUGUCAGCGUACCCGCUGGCUGGUGAGGGGUGACGACAGGGAUGCAGGAAGCCGUCAAGGGCGUUUUCUUCAGGGACAGUGACUGUGUCAGGAUGAACAACUAUUGUGAGACCCCGCUACUCUAGAGUUGCCCUUCAGAGCUGCGGGGCCAGGGGACCCAGAUGACCUUUGUUCCCGGGGUGUCCAGGUGCGCUGCUUGGCACAGCCAUGGUGUGGAAAGGCUCUCUUUAUCCUAAACCAUCACCAUCACCAUCACCAUCACCAUCACCGUCACCAUCACCGUCACCAUCAUCGUCACCUUCAUGUGACGCGAAAGCACAGAUGCUCCAGAACUCCCUGAAGGUCACAGAUGAAACAAGCCAAGAGCCAGUGGAGGCCUGCUUCAAGCCGAGGGGAAUGACACAAGUCAGGGAGGAUCUGCCUUUGCCGUUGACUCAGUUUAUCAAGCCACACCACACCCAUGCCUCCUCUGACUCUGGCUUCUGAACCAGAGACCCUACCAUGACCCGUGCCUGGGUGAAGGAGCCCACUUCUGAUGUGGGUUACCUGCUGCACAUCCUGCUCGAGUCCAGAGAGCAGAAGCUUAGGUAGACAGCAGGUCCAGGCAGGGAAGCCCGCAGCCCCGUGGGAGUCCAGCUGUGUGAUUUGGAGCAAGUUACUUAUGUCUCUGAAAAGAAGCAAGAUAACAAUAGCACCUCCCUCCCAUGCAGUGUCUUAGUUACUUUUCUGUUGUUACUGAGACAAAAUACCAACCAUCUGAAGUUAAAGGAGGGAAUAGUUAUUUAGCUCAUAGUUUGUAGAAGUUCCAGUCCACAGUUGGCUGGCUCCAAGGCACAGUGGCACAUGGCAGAGGGGCAACCGUUCAUGAUAGUGGAAGACAGAAAAAGCAACAACAGAGAGAAGGAAGACAAGCCUCCUUCCACCCAUUAUAUUGUAUCCAGUCUACUGGGAUUAGGGUGGUGCAAAUCACUGAAGUCAUCUGGCAUUACCCUCGUAAUCCCAGCACCCUUUAUCCUAGCACUGCACCAGAAAUCAAUCGCAUGACCUAUAUUCAGUGCAUCUAAAAACUCUAUCGAAUGCUGCAUGAGGCUUUGGGGGGACAUCCAGAUGCAAACCAUAACACAGGGUGCUGGAAAUAUUAUAUAUGACACACACAACAAGGCUGAUGCACAAUAAGCUACUAAAAUAAUCCAGCUGGGUCUGGUGGUAUGUGAUUAUAAUAGAAGCCACUUAAGAGGCAGAGGCAGAAGGAUCUCAAAUUCAAAGCCCAUAAAACAAUGGGAUAAUUUCUCAAUAUCAGUGAAUGACUUGGAUUUAAAUCAUUGCAUUCAGUAAGUAUCUAUGAAGGCCUCCUAUUCAUAGCAAUAGGGCUGAAUGAAGCCUUGAAAAGCCAUUGCCCUGGUGGAGGUUUUACUUCCACUAGGGAAAUCCAUGAACAGAUUCUCAUGUGAUAUGCACCAAACAAUGACCCUGAGGAGUCCAAGG
rnacentral:lncRNA from 1 species